GCGAGUACGUGACGCUGCGCAAGCGCGGUAAAGGUAAACACCAUCAGCGUGGCAAAAACAGAAAGGUGGAACAGAAUUUCAAUAAGGUUGCUUGUUUUAGGUAUAAGCGCGUCGAAAUUGACCACAUUAUAUACACAAUUUGCUGGAAAACGAUAUCAGGCACGACCAUCAAGCUACUAACCUCGAACUUUCUCCACUUUACUUUCUCCACUUCAAGCAGGCAAGGCUGUUGUGGAUGCCAAAAACAAGAGCUGUCUCAUCAGAAUUAUGGCCAUCUUAUCUUCUCUCCGGCAGACGUGGCUGCACGGAAGCCAGCUUUUGUCUCAGAUCUCCACAGACGUUGUCUAUCAGCUGAAAUAUGGUUUGCCUUUAUUUUAUUUCCCUUGCAUGCCUUUUGGGUUUCU